rnacentral:rRNA from 1 species
GUCAGUGGCCAUGCUGCCCUGAACAAGUCUGAUCUCAGAAGCUCAGCAGGGUCGGGCCUGGUUAGUACUUGGGUGGGAGACCACCUAGGAAGACCAGGUGCUAUAGGUG